rnacentral:rRNA from 1 species
GCUGGAUUAUUUUUACCCUUGUCUUUUGCGCACUUGUUGUUUCCUGGGCGGGUUCGCCCGCCACCAGGACCACACCAUAAACCUUUUUAUCAUUGCAAUCAGCGUCAGUAAAAAUGUAAAUCAUUUACAACUUUCAACAACGGAUCUCUUGGUUCUGGCAUCGAUGAAGAACGCAGCGAAAUGCGAUACGUAGUGUGAAUUGCAGAAUUCAGUGAAUCAUCGAAUCUUUGAACGCACAUUGCGCCCUUUGGUAUUCCAAAGGGCAUGCCUGUUCGAGCGUCAUUUGUACCCUCAAGCUUUGCUUGGUGUUGGGCGUUUUGUCUUUGGAUCAAAGACUCGCCUUAAAACGAUUGGCAGCCGGCCUCCUGGUUUCGCAGCGCAGCACAUUUUUGCGCUUGCAUCAGCAAGGCGGCACUCCAUCAAGACUUUUUUUCACGUUUGACCU